UACAGAGGUCCCAAGCGUUGUUCGGAUUCAUUGGGCGUAAAGGGUGCGUAGGCGGCGCGCUAAGUCAGGUGUGAAAUUUCGGAGCUUAACUCCGAAACUGCAUUUGAUACUGGCGUGCUUGAGGACUGGAGAGGAGACUGGAAUUUACGGUGUAGCAGUGAAAUGCGUAGAGAUCGUAAGGAAGACCAGUGGAGAAGGCGGGUCUCUGGACAGUUCCUGACACUGAGGCACGAAGGCCAGGGGAGCAAACGGG
rnacentral:rRNA from 1 species